UGCUUGAGAGAUCUAUGGUUGUCAUAAUUGUGCUGAUUCUUUGUAGCUCAAUAUUCUGCCCUUUGAUUACCAAACUCACUGAAUCCUCAUAUGAUGUGUCAAAUGACGAAUUCAACACAGAUUCCAUGUACUUGAUAUUUCCUGUGUCUUCACCAUCUAAUUUGAUCAUUGCCUUGAAGUUUCCAAAAACUUUUGCAGGAAGUGAGCCACUNNNNNNNNNNNNNNNNNNNNNNNNNNNNNNNNNNNNNNNNNNNNNNNNNNNNNNNNNNNNNNNNNNNNNNNNNNNNNNNNNNNNNNNNNNNNNNNNNNNNNNNNNNNNNNNNNNNNNNNNNNNNNNNNNNNNNNNNNNNNNNNNNNNNNNNNNNNNNNNNNNNNNNNNNNNNNNNNNNNNNNNNNNNNNNNNNNNNNNNNNNNNNNNNNNNNNNNNNNNNNNNNNNNNNNNNNNNNNNNNNNNNNNNNNNNNNNNNNNNNNNNNNNNNNNNNNNNNNNNNNNNNNNNNNNNNNNNNNNNNNNNNNNNNNNNNNNNNNNNNNNNNNNNNNNNNNNNNNNNNNNNNNNNNNNNNNNNNNNNNNNNNNNNNNNNNNNNNNNNNNNNNNNNNNNNNNNNNNNNNNNNNNNNNNNNNNNNNNNNNNNNNNNNNNNNNNNNNNNNNNNNNNNNNNNNNNNNNNNNNNNNNNNNNNNNNNNNNNNNNNNNNNNNNNNNNNNNNNNNNNNNNNNNNNNNNNNNNNNNNNNNNNNNNNNNNNAAGAUGAUAAGAAUAAAGAUGAUAGGCUAAGAAAGGUGAUAUUCAUUCCCUCAUCAAUAGUGAUGUUAUUUGAUGAAAUGUCAAGGGUAAAAAGAUUUGUGAGAUUCACAAGUGAUUGAGGAAAAGAACCACUGAGUUGAUUAUUGCUUAAAUGCAGUUCUUUUAAUGUUGGGUUUGUUUUGAUCACUUCAUCGGCUAGUCUUCUGAAUCGGUUAUGUUGGAGCGACACUGAAGAUAGCAAAGGUAGGCUAAACACCGAAGAUGGUAUGGUACCAUUCUGUGAGUUGUAUGUCAAAUCCACAGAAGUUAGCUUUUGAAGCAUGCUUGGGUUGCUAGGCAGUGGGCCAGAUAGGGAGUUACUCGACAUGUCUAAGUAUUCAAGAUGUGUCAAACUUAAAAUUGAAGAGGGAAACGAACCGAUGAAGCUGUUAUUAGAAAGAUGUAAAGUACGUAGCUCUUUGAGGUUAGAGAAAACAUCAGGAAUUUCACCUGAAAAGGAGUUGGAAGAAAGAUCUAAAUAACUUAGCUUUUGGAGGUUAGAGAAAACAUCAGGAAUUUCACCUGAAAAGGAGUUGGAAGAAAGAUCUAAAUAACUUAGCUUUUGGAGGUUAGAGAAAACAUCAGGAAUUUCACCUGAAAAGGAGUUGGAAGAAAGAUCUAAAUAACUUAGCUUUUGGAGGUUAGAGAAAACAUCAGGAAUUUCACCUGAAAAGGAGUUGUCAGAAAGAUAUAAAAUUCUGAGGUGCUUUAAUUUAGAGAUUGUGGAAGGAAUAUGGCCAGUGAAAUGAUUAUUAGAUAAAUCCAACUCCCUAAUUUGUGUUAGGUUGCCUAUGGAAUGAGGAAUGGAACCAGAGAAUUGACAUCUAUGGAGGUUCAAGAUAUUCAAGGAACUGAAGGUGCCAAUUGAAUGAGGCAGCUCACCAGAGAUGCCUGUGUUUGAAAUAUCCAACUCCAUUAACAGAGUGUUGCUCCGGUGGAUCUUUGGAAAAACUCCUUUGAGAAGAUCAUUAUCACUCAAUUUGAGCGUUUCCAAGCUGUUUGACGGAAGGAAAAAGCUCUCUGUGAGAACACCUCGCAGAUUAGUAUAACCAAGAUCCAGAUACCUUAAGGAGGAAGAAGAAAUAUUCACAGGUAUCGCAGAUGAGAUGUUGACUUCAAAGAGAGAAAGUAUCUCCAGAUUUGUGAAGUUCUGAAACAUUGCUUCAAAUGUUCUCUCGUCAAGUUGUAAUCCAUUCCAAAAAGAUCAAGUGAAACCAAAUUGGAAAGGCAUGAGAUUUCUGUUGGGAUUUUCCCAUCAAAGCCAGAGAGUUUUGUGCCUCAAAUUCGUCAAUCGGCCAAUGCCAUUUGGGAUUGAAGAAGGAUUAAAGUAAUUGCUAUCAAGGUUUAGUGUUUGGAGAUGAUGGAGUUGGAAGAGGGUGCUAUUGGGAUGAAAAGUGCCAAAAAGCUGACUACAACUAAGGUCUAACCUGAUAACAUGACCGUUUAAUAAGUCACAAGUGACUCCAUCCCAACUGCAGCAAUCCCUACUCUCAUUCCAAGACUCUGUUUUUGGGAAAGAAGCUCCAUCACCCAGAAAACUAAAGUACGUAAUUUGAGAGGAUUGUUUGAACUGAAGCAAAGCAGAAGCUUCAGUGGGAGAGCAAAGAUGAUGAUCAAAGGAAGAAGAAAAGCAUUCACUUAUUAGCAACACAAAACACAGAAAUGAAUAAAAGAAAAAGAAACGUCCCAUUUUUUGUUUGUUUGUUUGUUUUCAGCAAAUAACAGGAUGUUUGUUCUCUUCUUACAAAUCAAUCAGCAUUAUCCACAUAUAUAUAUACUAGUUUCAGUUGUCAUACAUAAAUUGAAUACCUAUAACGUAAUCCAACAAGUAAAGUUUCAAGAAGAUAGGAUAUACGAAGACCUUUAUGAAGUAAGAAUACAAACAACAAAAAUUUUCAAUGAAAAAAUAUAAUAUUAAGUUAAAAUAAUCAAAUCUUACUCAAAACAUUAAGAAGAUUAUACAAUGGUAUUGAAAUAAUUGCGCUGAAUUUGAUAAGUUGAUAUAAUAUUAUGAAAAUGGUAUUGAUUUCGCUACAUCAAAAAUGAUUUAUAACGGCAAUUAAUUAAGUUUAAUUGCCGCUAAAUAUGUAUUUUUAACGGCAAUUAACACUCUUUGCAUAUGUCCCUAAAGCUUUUUGCGACAUUGGAUCUAAUGACACUUAACUAAUACCGGUAAAAUCUUUAACACUCUUUAUUAAUGUAUAUAUUUAUUGCCGCUAAAAGUUGUUUUUGUUGUAGUGUUUGUUGCAGUGCUUGUAAUUCAAAGAAUACACCAAAAAACAAAUUAGAUCUUUUUUUUUAACACCCAACAAUUUAUUUUGCAUAAUGCAAAAGGUUUUACCGUUUGGUAGGCUUUAGAAUAUUCAAUAAUGAAUAAAUAAAAAUAGUAAUAGGAAUAAAAAAGGUAAAAAUAAUAAUAUGGGUUCAUGAUGAUUGUCAUAACAAAGAAUGUUAUAAUUAUCUAAACACUAUUUUAUUUCUUAAUUAUUACAACGACCUCCAUAUUAAAUAAAGUAAACAGUUAACUAAACACUAUUUGAUAAAGUAACGUUGUUUACUUGUCUAUGCAUGAGACUAUGAGGUAUAAAUUAACGAAAGAAAAGAAACACAUCCAGACAAAUAAAAUGGGGUAAUAAUUUGUGGUUACAAAAAAAAUUGUCCCAAGUGUUAAGUCAAUUUCCAGGAAGACUCAAAUUAAAGUCACUUCUAACAACUUGUUACACAUAUUUUGUAGUGUUCCAUAAGACUUUUUAGAGCAUGAAGAAGACUUCACAAAAUAAUACUUCGGCCAAACAUAUAUGUAGAUAUUUAAACUUGUUCCUAAAUUUCAUUUUGACACUCCAACUCAACCUUGUUCCAUUUUAACCCUUCAACUCCAAUUUUUAUGUUUCAUUUAGGUACUUCUUUCCAAAGAAUCAACAAAGUGGACGUAUGUAUUUCACACACCAUGACAUGGCAUAAAAUUCAAUUAAAAACAUACACAACUCAUCUAACUUGCCCCCAUUUUUCAUUUUGACAUUCUAACUUAGUCUUGUUCCAUUUUAAUCCUUCAACUCUGUUUUAUAUACAAUUUAAACACAAAAUACUAAAUUUAUGAUUUCUUCAUUUUUAUUUAUGUUCUUCAUUUUCACUUUUUCAUUUUAAAAAUUAACGUCAUAUCUUUUUCUUAAAAAAUAAUAAUUAAUGGAUGAACAUCAAUUUUUUUAAAAUGUUUGCGCCUUAUUCUUUAGGUAUUCAAUAUACGUCUUAACAACAGUGUUUUGUAAGUGAAACAGAGUAACAACGUAACAUACCUAGUGUAAUCCCACAAGUGGGGUCUGAAGAGAGUGACAUGUACCCUUUGUUUCCAAUAGUUCGAAUGUAUUUUAGGCUUUUCUCCGUUUGUUCUAUUUUUUGUUUCUCGAAAAAUUGAAUGCUAGAGCUUUAAAGAAAUUUUCUUACUAUCAACUCGUCUAAAAGUAACUAUAGAUGACUCUUCAUUAUAAGUGAAAUUAAUAACAUGCAAAUCAAGGUAAACAACAUGCUAACUACAACACGUUAAAUUAUACUGAUUGUAGACUUCAUAUUGUUGGUAUAUAUAAUUUAAAUUUGUUUAAAUAUGAAUGUCAUAUGGAAAGAAAUUUUUUGAAUCCUUAACUUCAUGGUGAAUGACCCAAAUAUAGAUGCCAAAACUUAAUGGGCUUUUAGAAAUUACAAAAGAGGGUUAAAUAUGUGAAUUACAGUGAAUUUAUGAUUAGUUUUAAGUCGUUACAAUAAUUGAGUUACAAUUAUUAUCUUUGCCGGCAAUAGCAAAAGCGACAAAUAUGCUUGUUUCGACUUUAAUGGCAAUAGUAAAGGCCGCUAAAAGAAAUUACUUUUAGUGGCAAUAAUAAGGGUCUUUACCGGCACUCGACAUAAAUGUCACUAAAGGCUUUAGCGACAUUGGAUCCAAUGACAUUUAAUCAAAUGCCGGUAAAUGUAUUUGUGGCAAUAAAUAUUGUUGUUAAAAGAAAAAUCAAUUGCCGCUAAAGGUCUCUUUUGAUGUAGUGUAUAUGAGGUAUAAAUUAACGAAAGAAAAGAAACACAUGCAUCCAGACAANNNNNNNNNNNNNNNNNNNNNNNNNNNNNNNNNNNNNNNNNNNNNNNNNNNNNNNNNNNNNNNNNNNNNNNNNNNNNNNNNNNNNNNNNNNNNNNNNNNNNNNNNNNNNNNNNNNNNNNNNNNNNNNNNNNNNNNNNNNNNNNNNNNNNNNNNNNNNNNNNNNNNNNNNNNNNNNNNNNNNNNNNNNNNNNNNNNNNNNNNNNNNNNNNNNNNNNNNNNNNNNNNNNNNNNNNNNNNNNNNNNNNNNNNNNNNNNNNNNNNNNNNNNNNNNNNNNNNNNNNNNNNNNNNNNNNNNNNNNNNNNNNNNNNNNNNNNNNNNNNNNNNNNNNNNNNNNNNNNNNNNAUUGGUCCCAUAUUUAUGUGGAAAGAAAUUCUGCAGAACUUGUAAGAAAUUUCCAAUGACAGAAACUAUUGCUUGACUAAGUCAAGUGAGGAAAAAAAUGAACAAUAAUUGAAGACAUGAUUUAAGUCCUCCAUCUACUUAUAGUAUGUAACAACAAAACAAUAAUACCGUGUGGAAUUUUAUUUUUGUUUGAUAUGAUUAGUUGCGUUGUCUCUUGUGCUGUUUUCCACAAAAAAAAUUUACUCGGGUCAUAAUAAACGUGACAGUAGGUAUAAUUUUACUUACCAAACACACCACAAAUUUUACAACAGUAAGACCUCCUAGACUAUCCACAUUGGGCUGAACUUUGUUCAUAACAAUACUCUCGUCCUCAAUAAGAACCUUGUCCGCAAGGUUUGAGUAAAGAAAUCCCACAACAAAAGACAGUGAUAAGCUAGAUGUAGCUACUGAAACUUCCACAAGUACAAAGGCCACUGGUUGGCAGGUCCAAAUGGAUAUCAAGAAGAAAUCAGUACGUAGUCCUGUAUGCGCUAACUACACUAGUGCGUGUAAUGUUGUUCACAUAGCCUUUAAUAAUGGGCAAGAAUGAUAUGUACUUUUCUGGUGCAAGUACUAUUCCUUUCACAGCAUUGCAGACCAUCUAGUUUAGGGACUUUACUCCAAAGCUCAAUUGCUAGAAGAGCGAUAACAUUCUCAUCUUCGUCUGAUCCCUCAGUGGUCAAUUCAAAUAGAGUGUCCAUGUAAGGUUCAAGCAACUCAUAAUAUGUCGAUGUCAAUAGUAGAAAGCAAAGCUUUGUAUUUCGUUGUCCUAUUGACUUCUGCAGAGGUCGCAUAUAAGACUUGAGUAAUCCUCCCGCACUGUAACUAUAAAAUUUUGCGAUUGGCUUAUCUGUUGUGGUUCCAUUUUGAACCGCCCUAAGUAUAUCCCUAAAGUUGAGUCAGAUUUUCAGUUAUUAUCCCUUGAACUUUUCCACUUUGUAUAAUAACUAUAAUGCAAUAGGACAUAUAGUUAUGCUAAAUGUAUGGUUCCAGGUAAAAUUGAACCAAGGGUUUCGGAUUCGAAAAUAACAUAUACAAUUAUAUUGCUAGCAAGUAUAUACAAACAACAAACAGAGAAAAAACAGAAAUUUAACAUUAGUAUAGAUGGAUAGAUAGAAAUUUGAACUCCUAUUUUAAGUCAUUCUUGUCUAACUUUCCAUCAACGAAGAAUCUCUUCUUCUGUUUUCCACAAUAUAUUUCAAAGAGAGAAACUAUUGUAUGACCAAGUCAAUUGAGAAAAAAAUAAUAAUAAAUGAACAAUAAAGACAUGAUGUUACUCCAUUUCAUCUUCCAUAAGACAAGAAGGGACACUUUAAUCAAGCGAAACCAAGUUGUAUGAAUGCAGUAAAUUUUAGUGCAUUUUUUUACGGAAUCUAUAUAAUCAUAAAAAGUCAAGACGUGUCAAUUUUCUGCAAUUAACCCUCUUUGUAUAUGUCUCUAAAGUCUUUAGCAACAUUGGAUCUAAUAAUACUUAAUCAAUGCCGGUAAAAUCUUUAACACUCUUUAUUAAUGUGUAUAUUUAUUGCCGCUAAAAGUUGUUUUUGUUGUAGUGCAUGUAAUUUAAAGAAUACACCAAAAAAACAAAUUGAUCUUUUUAUUAACACCCAACAAUAUAUUUUGUAUAAUGCAAAAGGUUUUACCGUUUAGUAGACUUUAGAUUAUUUAAUAAUGAAAGAAUAAAAAUAAAAAGAAGAAUAAAAAAGAUAAACGUAAAAAUAAUAAUGUGGGUUCAUGAUAAUUACCAAGAUAUAAAUAAGUUAAUAAAAUAAGUAGUCACGUAAGAAAUGAUGAUAUAACUAACUAAACACCAUUUCAUUUCUUAAUUGUUACAACGACUUCCACAUUAAAAAAAGUGAACAAUUAAUUAACUAAACGAUAUUUCAUAAAGUAGCAUUGUUGACUUGUCUAUGCAUGGGACUAUUAGGUACAAAUUAACGAAAAGAAACACAUCCAGACAAAUAAAAUGAGGUAAUAAUUUGUGGUUGCAAAAAAAGUUGUCCUAAGUGUUAAAGUCAAUUUCCAGGAAGACUCAAAGGCACCUGUAUUUCAUGAAUGAGUACUAGUCACUUGUAACAACGUGUUACACAUAUUUUGUAGUGUUCCACGAGACUUUUUAGAGCACGAAGAAGACUUAACAAAAUAAUACUCACUAUGUCCUAAUUUUCUCUAGAUGUUGUUGUUCAUUUUGAGGUCAUAGAUCAAUUAUCUCUACAGUAUGUGUUACACAAGAUGAUGUGAAAUCGAUCCCUUUAAUCAAGCGAAACCAAGUUGUAUGAAUGCAAUAAAUUUUAGUGCAAUUUUUCCACGGAAUCUAUAUUAUCAUAAAAGGUCAAAACGCGUCAUUGAACCAAUUGUGAGAACAAUUAUUGUACAUUCGGAAUAGAGGAAACCAAUUUGUACAAAUGCAUUAAAUUUUUAUGCAAUUUUUCCAUGGAAUCUAUACAAUCAUAAAAGGUACGCAACUUGUGGUCCAUGAAUGAGUACUACUCACUUCUAACAACUUAUUACUCAUAUUUUGUAGUGUUUGUUAGAGGACGGAGAAGACUUAACAAAAUAAUAUAUACUCCAUAUUUAUUUUUGUUCUUUUAUUUGGUUUUUAUUUUCAUUCAUGUUCAAUUUUCAUUACAAGGAUGAAUAGGCCUUUAAGUCCACUGCUACGGCAAACACAAAAAAAAUCGAACUUCAAAUGCAGGAAUUUCUCCUCCAAAGAUCUAAAAGUGUGAGUUGCUUCAAUUUAGAGAUUGUUAAAGGAAUAUAUAUUAGGUUACAUAUGGAUGAAGGUAGUGGACCCCGAAAGGAAUUAAAUUUAAGAUCAAGAUACUCUACAUUAUGGUAAUGAAAUUUUGGUAGGUGGCCUGUUAAUGAAUUAUGUGAAAGGUUUACGAACCCCACCUCAUGCCAUUAAACUAGUUAGGAAUUUGACCACGAAUCUUAUUGAUAUGAGUCCAAAAAUAUAUAUUUUAAUCAUUAUUUACCUUACAUUUAUUAUAUAUAUCUGUCCUUUUUAAGCAUGAAUUUUAUGAAUUGCGUUAAAUAGUAUAUUUUAUUUAUAGGAUUAAAUUGGUGUGAAGAUGAAGAAGUUUGCAACUAAAACGAAUUAAAGAUGAAAAAUUAUAGAAGGAAAUCAAGCAGACGGCUUAAUGGAAUAAAUUGAAUAUUAUAAUAUAUUCAUUCAAACGUACAAAGAAAGGAAAUUAAUGAAGUUUACCUGCAUUACUUGCCACGUGGCUGAUUCUGAAGGCAGCAAAGAGAAUUGAGGCAGUUGGACGACCAUUGUUGACGUGGAAGUCAAAUUCCGCUUGGUUUUGGUUUUUCGAUUUGUUUUGGACUCAGUUAUUUGUCACGACCCGAUUCCUUGAGCCGUGAUGGCACCUACUAUAUCCCACCAGUAGGUAAGCCAACCCGUAACCCAGAACGACUAGUAGUGGGUAAAAGGGCAGAAACAAAACAAGAGUAUGCAAAAUUUAAGAUAAUAAUAUAAACAUGCAAAAGCAAACCAAAACAUAUAUAUAUACCAAUAAAGAUCCCUCCCAGAACCUGGAAGUCACUAGUACAGAGCUACUAACAGAACUAGUACAAGUCCUAAAAGUGGACCACAAAAACUGGACUAUCUCAAAAGGCAAAAGACAAGUCUAUGUAUACAGAUGGAGACUGAAGUAGUACAAACGCCAUGUGCUCACCCCCGUCUCCGGAUCAGACUACUCCAAGCUCGAUAUCAACAAUGGCCAUUGGUGCUUGGGCCUGCAUCACUAAAACAUAUGCAGAGCGUAGUAUGAGUACCAAAACAACAGGUACCCAGUAGGCAUCAUAAGCCGAUUGAACUUGAAAAGUAAAGCCAUUAUGAAAAGAAGGAAUAACACAAACAAAGGUCAAGAAUGGAAGUCUAAGUAAAUGAUGGAAUGCACACGAGUGUAAAAAGAACUAACUAAAGUAAUUUAUAAGCUAACUACACCUAACUGGACCCCCAUAAGCCCAGAAGGUACACUCGUGCACAAGUUCAAUUAAAAACUCGAACGGACCCCCAUAAGUCCGACGAGUACACAUAAUAACUAUAACUAAAGAGAAUUGCAAAUAAGAACCCAAGAAUGGAGAACAUCAAACCAGAACCUCAACCCCAAUUAGUAGAAUCUGACAGUUCGGAGGCGGACCUCGAACCGGAUGCUCACCAGAAGUACCCAAGUAAUCAGUCACAAGUAUCAAGUAAUUGAGGCCAGACCUCUAACCGGAUGCUCUAUAUAAGUAUCUGGGCGAUAGAGGCCGGACCUUAAACCGGAUGUUGUAUAUAAGUAUUUGGGUGAUAGAGGUCGGACCUUAAACUAGAUGCUCUAUAUAAGUAUUUGGGCGAUAGAGGCCGGACCUUAAACCGGAUGAUGUAUAUAAGUAUCUGGGAGAUAGAGGCCGGACCUUAAAUCGGAUGCUGUAUAUAAGUAUCUGGGCGAUAGAGGCCGGACCUUAAACCGGAUGCUGUAUAUAAGUAUCUGGGCGAUAGAAGCCGGACCUUAAACCGGAUGCUCUAGAUAAGUAUCUAGGCGAUAGAGGCCAGACCUUAAACCGAAUGCUCUAUAUAAGUCUAUGAGGUCGGGGCAGGAGCUCGAAUUUGGAUGCCCGACAAACGUGCCAAUGAAGCUGCUGAAAGAGUCUCAAUCGAUCCAUGCUCAUAAAUGUCCGUGGAAUGCCGUCCACACUUAGCCAAUCAAUGUAAGUCCUUGGAACCAAAUCAAAAACCAACUUAAAAUAGCGAAGCAGAAUCAGUGUCGCCGACAUAACUCGUGAAGCCGUAACAUCGAGGAAAUAAGGAUAACUAUCGUCGGAGCAAGCGUAUCGCCUAGCUAAGGCCCAAACUAUCAGACUCAAGUCUAGUACACCAGUCUACAGGGAUCUAAGCCGACUGAGCGACGUCGGGGAAAAACUAAGGCCUAUCGAUUCCGAAUCAUGUAUUUCUAAGGCAAGCCCUAGUCAAACCUAAACUAAGGCCCAACAUGCUUCAGAUAAACAGUAAUCAUGCAUACAAGCACUCCACAUAGUAAAGAGGGUCAAUUAGUAACACAUAGCAUGCUCACAAUUACCCAACAAUUCCCGAAAGAGGCCAAAACAUGAUUUCUAAACACCUAUGCACGAUUCAAUAAAUACCAACCCAAAUCCCAACUAAUUAACAUGCAUUCACACUCUCGAGCUCAAUCUAAGAGAGGGAAGCCAUAGCCUACCUGUAGGCCGAUCACGCGCGCUCCAAAAUUACUCAUCCGGAGCUUUUCCUUUCCGAACAACCUCAAAACGCUGCCACGCAGAAACGGGAGGUCUACAGUGAAUUCCGACAAAACUAUGACAUUCUCCUCAAAAAACCACUCAAGAUAGCCUCAAGAAUCACUCAAACGGGGAUGCCAAAUCAGUUCCGAGCUCACCAAUACGUUCCUUGCGAAAAACCCCACAAGAUGAACCUUUGAAUCACUGAAUUUGGACUUGAAAUGAGAGAGUUAAGCCCUUUAAAAAAUUUAGAACUAGUGCUGAAUUUUUGCAUAAAUACACCAGAUUUCAGCAUAUUUCAGAAACUUAAAAACUUCGACGGGGUGCUCCGAACUCGUUCGAAACCCCGUGCACGCAAACGAUAUAUGCAAACAUACCAAAAUUGUUAUUCCGGACUCAAUGGCAUAGUCAAAAUUUCCAUAAGAGGUCAUCUCGAUAAAAAGUGGGUCCCACUCCCAAAGGCCAUUUUUCACCAAAAUCCACCUAGGGGCUCGGAAUGAGUUCGGAGGCCUCGGGAGUCGAACAAAAGGUCGUUCUAGACCAAACUCGACAUUCCAAAACUAACCGUCUUGAUGGAAUUUUCAUCCGAGCGCGUUUUCCAAGAAUGUUGACCAAAGUCAACCUUAGGCCAAAUUUCAAAGGCUAAAAUGCCUAAUGGUCCAACCUCACACCGAAGGCCUCGGUACUCGUGCCAACCAUGCUACUAGCCUAAUUUGGCCAUUCCAGAGCUGAUGGAACUGUCAGAAUUCCAUUCUGAGGUCGUUUACCUAGCGUUUUGACUAAAGUCAACUAUUUAAGUUUCAAAAGCUCCAAAACGGGGAAACGGACAUAAAACCCAAACGAACGACUAGGCGACCGAACAGUCAGUACCAGCAAGUCAUAAAUGACUUGGGUCGCUAUAGGAACGCUCUAAACGACGAAAAGGAGGCAUUAAGGCAAAAAUGACUUGAAGGGUCAUUACAUUAUUUUAUUUAGGAUUUUCUACAUCUAUAAAUAGUCCAUAGAAAUAAUUAUUGGGGGAGAUGAAUCAUAGGUAUAAGUAUAAAGUUGUCAAUACUUUUUAGACUUCUAUUCUUUUUCUUUUCUUAGACAUUAGUAGUUAAAGACCCUUGUUCUGGGGUUGUAGCUAUGUGUAAGUGUUGAACAUCGAUUGUUUUGAAUUAAUGAUUGGUUAUCGCUUAAAUUACUUUUGUAUUCUUGUUUUAGUAUUUCUUGACUGGCCAUCAUAGACAUAAUUCUCUUGUCUACUCUUAAAAUCGGGAGACGCUAAGGUAGAUAGACCAAUGGAGACAAAAAAGCUUGAUGUUCCAUUAAAUUGAGUUGAUUUGUGUUUAGGAGUGACGUCCAGACGAACACCUAGCCUGGUUACGAAACAUGAUGAAAUAUAAAUGCUCGCCAAUUAGGACUGUCUAUCCCCGCUCAACGAUGUAGUUAGACAGUUAAUUGGAGUAGGCGAUUAGAGGUCGGGAGACCAUGAUCGAUCAUAAAAUCAACCCUGUAAAUCAGUAAUUUGAUAACUGUAGUUAAUUCAUGCAUGAGAUGUGAUACAUGAACCUUAUGCAUGCUGCGGCCCUGAAAUUUUCCAACCAUUGUAAGUAAUUUUAUUAUUUAAUUCUUACAUUCUUAGUAUUUAAAUAAAAGUCAAUUCUUUUGGCACUCUUAAAUAAAUAAUUAGACUAGUAUAAUUUAAUAAAAUAGUUAAUUGACAAGUCUUUUGGGUUCGAUAUAUAAUCCGAUUUUGUUAAGAGUCACUAUAUUACUUGCGCGACCACAUACACUUGCGUGUGCAAUUGGGAGCAACAUUGUUAGAAAUAUCCAAGUACACAAAUGUCUUUACAUUUCUCAACAAGUGUGAAAAAUCCUUCAGAUUACAAGAUAAUAACUGCAAAACUUCUAGGCUAGCAAAAGUGAUUUGUAGUAUUCCAGCAUCGAUGGUGAUGUUAUUUGAGACAAAUAUCUCCUACAUAGAAUUUUUCCUAUCCACAUUUACAGAACCAUGUGUAACACAUAACAAAUGUGAACUUGAGACAAAUAUCUCCUACAGAAAACCAGCUUUGCUGUCUUAAGGACUGAAUCAUGUGUAACACACAACAAAAAAUGGUACUAUCUUAUAGUUGUUCACAACAACUAAAUGAUACAAACAACAACAUACUCGAUGUAAUCCCACAAGUGCGGUCUGAGGAGGAGGGUAAUGUGUACGCAGACCUUACCAUAACUUGUGGAGGUAGAGAAGAGAGGUUAUUUCCGAUAGACCCUCCAUUACAAAAUUUACAAAUUCUACGUAACCAUUACACUUAGGUACAACAUGGUAACAAUACAAGUACCAUUAUUUUGGAAGGUUGAAAAAUAUGUAAUUCAUUUUUUUAACAUAUAUAAAGAGUCUUAAGCAAAGCUACUUGGUUCGGAUGAACUCGUAGCUGCUUCACUAGAUUCCCCCCUACAUUGUUCCUGGGAUAAUUGUAUGCUAGACAAUUUGAAACAAAGUUUCAAAGAAUAUUUUUUUUUCACUAUCAAAUCGUCUAAAAGUAACUAUAAGUGACACUUCAUGAAAUUAAUAAUUUGAAAUCAAGGCAAAUAACGUGUCAACUAUUAUAAAGUGAUAAAUUUUAUACUGGCAAUAUAUACAAGGUAAGGAAGUUAAGGGAAUCGAGUAAAAUUUAUUAGAGCACCAAGCUUGAAUGUCAUUUGAAAAGAUAAUUUUCAAAUCCUUAACCUGGUGUUCUAUACCCGCUUCGGAGCCCCAACUAAUAUAGGCCCGUGCAGCAUAAGGCCCAUUAAGAGAAGAGAAGCCCAGCCCAUGUUUAAAAGGGCAGCCCAUUUUUGAGGCCCAUGAAAAUUUCUCUAGAUUAUACCUUACUCAAUAAAAGAGAUAUUAUUUUUAUUUUUUUACCAUAGCUUAACUAUGAAACAUAAGUUUACAAGUUACUACAUUGAUUGAAUUUAAGAAAUAUGAAAAAAGUUUCUAGUUGUUGGCAGUUGUACCCACCAUGCUAGAAAGUGUUGCUUAUUUGCCUAGCUGAUUAUCCUUAUUCUAUUACUAGAUGAAAAUGAUUCAAAUCCGAAAUAUAUGAUUAAGGGUGAAGUUGUGAAGGGAUCUCAUUAUCUUUUUUCUUAUCCUGAGAAAGAAGUAUAGCUCAGGUUCGAAAAGUGUUUAGUAACUUCAGCUCAAAUCAUAUAUUAAUAUUUAAAAUUUUCAAAUAAUCUAUCAAAAGCCUAUUAAGUGCGGUUUUUUUCUAAAAUCCGGAUUUCAUAAAUUCCAAGUCCUAUCUUUACCUCACCUUUCAAAAGUGGAGCCAAAAUUUGAUUUCUAUAAAUUUUGAAUUUAUCGCUUAACUCUCACAACUCAUUCUAAUUACCAAAUUCAUAAUUAUAUAUUUAUUUAUAUUUAAUUAAUUUCUUAAUAUAUAAAUACGGAGUCUAAGUGAAAGAAAAAUAAAAUAAGAUAAAAUUACAAACACGAGAAAGAAAUUAAUCCGCUAGCCAACCGAUAAGCUAUCGGGCUCGGUAUCGGGUUAGGAAUUAAUGGAUGGUUAUCGGUUGGUGUAUUGGCUCCAACAUUUUGUGCUCCCUUCUUUCACUUUCACUCACAAUUAGAUUGAUCUCCCAUCAAACAAAUUAGUUUUUGUAGCCCUACUUAAGCUGGUAAUUCAGUAAUUGUAAAUCACAGUGAGACACAUAUGAACUAAAUUUUGAGGGUGCAAGCACAUUAGUAUUUAGUUAAUAAAUAUACUUACGGAAAAAAUGUAACUACGAUAAUUUUUAAAAGGUUAACGGUUUAUCCUAUAAGGAAAUUGAGUAAUCCGCCCCGCACUGUUAACUAUAACAUUUUAAUCGGUUGACCAACCGUUAAUCUGAUCGAUCAAUAAGCCAAUUUUGUGAUUGGCUUAUCGGUUAUGGCUCGGUUUUGAAACGCCUUAAGUAUACCCCUAUAGUUGAGUCAGAUUUUCAGUUACACGCCCGACUUUUGAGAUGGUCUUAUUAGCCUGAACUUUUCCACUUUGUGUAAUAACUAUGAUGCAAUUGGACAUAUAGUUAUGCUAAAUGCAUGGUUCCAGGUAAAAUUGAUCCAAGGGUUUCGGAUUCGAACCUUAAAAAUAAAGAAAAUCCUGAUAGAGAGUGUUUUACCCCAGAGGUGGAUGUAGCCUUUUCCUGUUUUGUUGUACUAAUAAGUGGAUUACUUCAAUCAACAACACAAUAGAUGCUCUCCUCUGUGUGUAUGAGUUCGGCCAUUUGAAGAAAAAACAUGUAACAAACCGAAAUCCUCACUAUAUUAAUAAGAGCAUUGGAACACUAUUACAACUUGCAAUAAUCAACUACCGAAUUACAAUGGAAAUAUUGAAAUAACGAGUAAUUAAAGAUAGAGAGAAGAAUGGAGAUGAGAAGCUUAGACUCUAGAAGAAGAGGAGAGGACAAACAUUUUCUUCAAUAUGCAUCCUCCCUAAAUCACUGACCACUACCCCAUUUAAUGGAACCGUUUUCACGCCCACUCUCGACCCAAAUCCCAAAUUAGCCUGGACCUGUUGCUUGCUCUAGGCCCAAUAGCUCUUGUCAGUCCAAUAACUACUUGUGUGACUUUGGUAUCCAUAUCGGGUUGGACUUGGUUCAUAACAAAGCAUCGGAUAAUACAGAGUGUUCCUAAGGCUAUGAUGACACAAUCUGCAGGUUCGUGGUAUUUUCGAAUUCAAAACAUUUAAGAUUAUUUGGAUCAUUGUUUUCAAUGUCUUAAUUAAGUCACAGGUUAACAAGUAAAUCUUAUCAUUCUGAUAAAAUAACACAUACAAUUAUAUUGCUAUCAAGUCAUAUAUUUUUAAAAGUGGGAAGCCUCAAGUUGCAAAGUUGAAUUACCAUUUUAUCUCUAUAGUAAAUUAAAAUAUUAUAAAAUAUCUAAUUAAUUAAAUAUUAAAUAUGCCUAAAUUGCUAAGUUGAUUCACUUAUUGUUAAAAUAAAGUAGGAGAAUGAAGAGUUGUAAAAAUAAUUAAUUAUAAAGUUACGAAAAACUAUUAGAGAAACUUUUCGUUUCUCUAUCUGAUCAGUUUUAGGUGUAAUUUUUAUCAUAAUGUGUAUUAAUACCACACCUCCACUAUCUCAUCAUUAAUCUUCACACCUUCAUAAUGUUCCCACACUCUCAAGAAAUUAAUGGCAUGAUUAUGAUACCUUUUGAUUUUACUCAAUGAUGUCCUAUAAAUUGUGGUAUUUGACACAACAAUCUGUACACUUUGAAGAGACUUAGGUACACUUUGGAAGAAAUAAAAAAAAAAUUGUCUAUAUUUCUAUUGUUUUUAUCCUUUAGUAUUAAUAUCACUUUUAGCUUCAGUUCAUAACACUGAUCACUAAUUCUCCUUAUAUUCGUUUGUUGUUUACAGAAAGGAAAUGUGUACAAAUUGUUAGAUCUUCUAAUGGAGUUUACAACGAGAGAAGGGAUGUUGAAAUCUUCCCGGAGGUUGAAAUCAAUCUUUAAAAGAACACAAGAGAAGGCAUGUUGAAAUCUUCCCAGAGGUUGAAAUCAAUCUUUAAAAGAACAAGUUGGACUUUAAGCAACUUUAUUGAUAACCAUGAUCAUUUUCAUGUUCUAUGAAAUUACAUUAUCCCUAUAUUUGUUAUUUCCUUUUUUUUUAUUAGAUCUGACAUUUCAAAUCCUUGAAUGAAUUCUAUGUAACGGUUUGUUCAUUAUGAUAAUUUAUUUUAAUAUUAUGUUGACAUUAGAUAUUAUUGUACGAAAAUGCUUUGUUUGGGACCUAAUGUCGGUGAUUUCUUCAUACUUAAAGCUUUGAACAUCUAGAUUUUAUAUAUAUAUAAAACAAUGGUUGUUGCAUGACCUACCAAUAAAAAUAAAUUUAUUCAUGUAAUAAAAAUCUAAGUUGCAAAUAAAAACAUUUUAAUUUUGGUAUUAUAUUCAUGCUUUAGAUAUGUUAUUUUUUAUUAUGUAUAAUUAUUAUUAUUUUAAAAUUUUUCCUUGUUAUCAUAUUAAAUAUCAUAUUUUUUUCCUGUUGUUUUUAACUACGUCAUGAGAUCAAAAAGAAGAAUUAUUAAGAAAUUGCAAUCGAAGUUUGUAAUUGAAGAUGUUUUGAUCUAAUAUAUAUACUCAACCGUUAACACAAUAUACCGCUAGGAGUGUAAAUCACAUAUAGCCAACCGUUUGGUGCAAUGUUAAUUAAUUUUGUUUAGCUUUGGUUGCAUGUAAUAUUAUUGUUGGUUUGGCAAUUUUCAUUUUAAAGAAAAUUAUUAGCUUGUAGACUUCACAAUUUAUAAUGUGUUUUAGUUUCUAUUUGAGGAAUGAAUUAUUGAAUAGGCAGUGAGAAAAUCGUCUUUCGUGAUUUAAGUAGUAAGCUCGGAUUCAUGAUUGAGAAAGGAAUUUUUCAAGUGCAAUUUGAAAUUUUCUACUAUUCUUAACAUCUCAUUAUAAAGAAUUUUUUAAAUAUUUUAUUUGAUUAAAUAUAGUUCUUACAAAAUAUAACACGAUAAUCAUGUUUCAAUUUUAACAUCUAUCAGUAGUUCAAUACAAACUUUAUAAAAUAGAAAUAUAAUUAAAAAUUAAACUAAUCUAACAGUUUCUUAAAAUUCAUCCUUUAACUAUAAUUCUCCAAAUUAAGAAAUCUGCAACCUGAGAUGAGAGUUUUAAAUAAAUUUUACCUUUUUUAAGUGUUGGAUCGUCAUGACAUCAUAAAAAUAUUGAAGGGGUGUCACUCAUUAACGAUUUAAUUUUUGUGAAGUGAAGAAGGGGGUGACAAUUUAAACUAAUGUGGGAUUAUCUUAUAUCUGAGUAUACGAGAAAUCACAUUUUAAAUGUCUAAACCACUUAUAAAUUUGCUAUAGAUAAAGAAGAGUUUAUUCUUAUAUGCACAUGUAUAUCAUUCUUUAAUAUCAAAUUUCUAACAAUCCAUCAUUAUAUUGAGGGCCUUCAAAAGCAAUAAUCAUUCUAUUAAAUACUAAUAUUGAGGGCCUUACAUCUCUUCUUCUGUUUUCCACAAUACAUUUCAAAAAGAGAAACUAUUGUAUGACCAAGUCAAUUGAGAAAAAAAAAAAAUGAAUAAUAAAGACAUGAUGUUACUCCAUUUCAUCUUCCAUAAGACAAGAAGGGACACUUUAAUCAAGCGAAACCAAGUUAUAUGAAUGCAAUAAAUUUUAGUGCAAUUUUUUUACGAAAUCUAUAUAAUCAUAAAAAGUCAAGAUUUUUCAUUGAACCAAUUAUGAGAACAGUUAGGGUACGUUCGGGAUAGAGAAACCAAUUUUAAGAAUGCAAUAACUUUUAUGGAAUUUAAUUUAUACAAUAUUCCGAGUUAGUGAUUAGUUGUCUCAUCUGCUAUUUUCAAACUUGUAAGGUACACAAUAAUUUUCGAUCACAUUAAGUUAAUGAGGGAAAAUCCAUCAAUAUUCAAUUCCACCUAAGGAAAUAAGGGAUACGGUAAUGUAACUAGCGGACGAUGACUUGUAAGCCUUUAAGCCAAUUUCCUCAAAGACUAGAGGGGGAAAAGAUUAUGAUAAAUCGGGAUUGAUGAACAAUUGAAUCACAAAGUUGAAGAAAGAAAAAGUUCAUUUUGAGGUCAUUAACUAUAUCUGCAGGGUGUGUUAUCCAAGAUGAUGCGAAAUUGGUCCCAUUAUGUGGAAAAUUUUCUGCAGAACUUCUAAAAAAUUUCCAAUGACGGAAACUAUUGCUUGACUAAGUCAAGUGAGGAAAAAAAUGAAGAAUAAUUAAAGACAUGAUUUAAGUCCUUCAUUUCCUCCUUGUGGAAUUUUAUUUUUGUGCUUUUAUUUGGUUUUCAUACAAAAUUUUGUUUGAUAUGUGUCUUCCAGCUUAAUUAGUAUGUUUUGAAUAACUUGGUGAAGAUCAAAAUUUAAGGAUGAAGUACCACAAAAUUAUUAGCCACUUCUGUAGUUUUGAGUAUUCUUAUUUAUCAAUUUUCACAAAUAUAAACUAAUUUCAAUCAUGAACCAAACUCUAUAUGCUUACUGCACUGUUUUUUCCAAUUUUGUUGUAUUAAUGAGCUAUGUUGCUUGGACUCUCCUUAAAUAUGAUGAUGUUGCACCCAUGUUGGUUCCUUAAGAAAUACACAACUUUUGAAGAAUCCAACACAUACUCGUUGACAUUUUUGAAAAAUCUAAGUAACAUAGCUAAUGAGUGGCUGUGUAGAUCACUUCUGUCAAUUUGAAACAGAAACAAACUAACAUAACUUGAAUAAACAAAAAUAACACACAUAUAAUUAUGUUUCUAACAUAUACAAACAACAAAUAGAAAAUUAAAAAAGACAAAAACAGAACAGUUCACUAAUUAGUCCACAAAAUCAAACAAAGACAAUUUAGCCCUCUCAAUCUUCCAUUAAGUCCUUCGUCUCUGAGCUCUCUUCUUUGGCCUUCUUCUUUUGUGAGGCAUGAGUCCAUCAAAAAAUUGCACCAACCAUUUUGGAUUAACGAUAUUUAAACAUGAGACUCCACAUGACAGUUCCAACAACUAGUCCACAGCUGUAGCCUAUGACUACAGAUUCCCAAGUAAAUCCACUAAAAAAAUAUGACUCGUCUUCUUCUUCGGACUCCAAUUGUUGAGGAACAUGCGAUGAAUCACUCGUUCCACAUUUCUUUGUUAAAGGAACACCACAUAAAUCAAGGUUGCCACCAUAUGAGUCAUUUUCAAAUGUGUUGAAUUGUAGAACUUGAGGAAUUGGUCCAACGAGAUGAUUUUGAGAGACGUUUAAGAAGGCCAGAAAGUUCAAUCUUGUCAAUUCCUGUGGAAUCUUUCCAGUGAGCCGAUUCCAGGAGAAAUCUAAAGCUUCAAGCAUACUCAAUUGCCCCAAUUCCAUUGGUAUAUGACCUCUGAGAUUGUUAUGAGAUAAAUUGAGUAGCCAAAGUGAUCUGAGAUCCUUUAGUGUUUUCGGAAUGACACCUUCAAAAUGGUUGCUUGAGAGAUCUAUGGUUGUCGUAAUUGUGCUGAUUCUUUCUAGCUCAGUAUCGUGCCCUUUGAUUACCAAACUCACUGAAUCCUCAUACGAUGUGACAAAUGGCGAAUACAACACAGAAUUCAUGUACUUUAUCUCUCUUGUGUCUUCGCCAUCUGAUUUGAUCAUUGCCUUGAAGUUUCCAAAAACAUUUGCAGGAAGUGAGCCACUGAAAUCAUUACGAGAAAGAUCAAAAAUUCGCAACUUGGAAAAGCAAAACUUAGUUUGACAUAUACUUAUAGGUCCAUGGAAUUUGUUCGACUUUAAUAUAAGGACCUGCAGCUCUUGAAGAAUUUCAAGCCAAGAUGGAAACGUGUCAUUUAUAGCAUUGUUCCCCACAUCAAGUACUUCUAGACCACCACACUUGAGCAACGACACAGGUACAGGUCCUUCAAAUUGAUUACCAUUUAUGACAAUGGUACUCAACGAAGUGCUGUGUGCACAUAAUGGGGGAAGACUCCCUGUGAAAUUGUUCCUUCUUAAGUCUAGCACCGUUAGACUAGCCAUGCUUCCCAAGCAAUGUGGAACUGAGUCACUGAAGUUGUUGCGUGAUAAAUCUAAUAAGAUAAGCGAGCUCAUGUUACAAAUGGAUAAAGGUAGUGGACCCAGAAGGGAGUUAAAUUUCAGAUCAAGAUACUGUAGAUUCAUUCCCUCAUCAAUGGUGAUGUUAUUUGAUGAAAUUCCAAGGGUUUCAAGGUUUGUGAGAUUCACAAGUGAUUGAGGAAAAGAACCACUGAGUUGAUUAUUGCUUAAAUGCAGUUGUUUUAAUGUUGGGUUUGUUUUGAUCACUUCAUCGGCUAGUCCUCUGAAUCGGUUAUGUUGGAGCGACACUGAAUGUAGCAAAGGUAGGCUGAACACCCAAGAUGGUAUGGUACCAUUCAGUGAGUUGUAUGACAAAUCCACAAAAGUUAGCUUUUGAAGCAUGCUUUGGUUGCUAGGCAGUGGGCCAGAUAGGGAAUUACUCGACAAGUCUAAGGUAUGAAGUUGUGUCAAACUUAAAAUUGAAUCGGGAAAUGGACCAGUGAAGCUGUUUUCAGAAAGAUCUAAAUAAUAUAGCUCUUUGAGGUUAGAGAAAACAUCAGGAAUUUCACCUGAAAAGGAGUUGUGAGAAAGAUAUAAAUAACGUAGCUCUUUGAGGUUAGAGAAACCAUCAGGAAUUUCACCUGAAAAGGAGUUGUCCGAAAGAUAUAAACGUGUGAGGUGCUUCAAUUUAGAGAUUGUGGAAGGAAUAUGGCCAGUGAAAUGAUUAUGAGAUAAAAUCAACUUCGUAAUUUGUGUUAGGUUUCCUAUGGAAUCAGGAAUGGAACCAGAGAAUUGACAUCUAUAGAGGAUCAAGAUAUUCAAGGAUUUUAAGGUGCCAAUUGAAUCAGGAAUGGAACCAGAGAUGCCUGUGUAUGAUAUAUCCAACUCCGUUAAGGAAGAAGAAAUAUUCGGAGAUGAGAUGUUGACUUGAUAGAGAGAAAGUAUCUCCAGAUUUGUGAAGUUCUGAAACAUUGCUUCAAAUGUUCUCUCAUCAAGUUGUAAUUCAUUACCAUAAGAAGAAGAAAGAUGAAGUGAAACCAAAUUGGAAAGGUAUGAAAUUUCUGUUGGGAUUUUCCCAUCAAAGUCAGCGAGUAUCAGAUUCCUCAAAUUCCUCAAUCGGCCAAUGCCAUAUGGGAUCGAAGAAGGAUUAAAGAAAUUGUUAACAAGGUUUAGUGUGUGGAGAUGAUGAAGCUGGAAGAGGCUGCUAUUGGGAUGAAUACUUACAGGUAUCGGUGAUGAGAUGUUGACAUAAGAGAGAGAAAGUAACUCCAGAUUUGUGAAGUUGUGAAGCAUUGUUUCAAAUGUUCUCUCAUCAAGUUCUAAUCCAUAACCAGAAAGAUCAAGUGAAACCAAAUUAGAAAGGUAUGGGAUUUCUGUUGGGAUUUUCCCUUGAAAGUGAGAGAGUUUUAGAUGCCUCAAAUUCCUCAAUCAGCCAAUGUUAUGUGGGAUUGAAGAAGGAUAAAAGUAAUUGCCAGCAAGGUUUAGUGUGUGGAGAUGAUGAAGCUGGAAGAGGCUGCUAUUGGGAUGAAUACUUACAGGUAUCGGUGAUGUGAUGUCGCCAAGAGAGAGUAACUCCAGAUUUGUAAAGUUGUGAAGCAUUGUUUCAAAUGUUCUCUCAUCAAGUUCUAAUCCAUAACCAGAAAGAUCAAGUGAAACCAAAUUAGAAAGGUAUGAGAUUUCUGUUGGGAUUUUCCCAUCAAAGCCAGAGAGUUUUAGAUGCCUCAAAUUCCUCAAUCGGCCAAUGAUUUUAUGUGGG
rnacentral:lncRNA from 1 species